rnacentral:misc_RNA from 1 species
GAAGCCAUACCCAAGCCUCUCUUUGAACGGGGGACAUAGGUGUGCACUAAAUCCAUCACUUUCCCAUUGUUUCUGAGCACGUACUCAAUGUAAGCCCUCUUGUCCUCCGUUUCAAACCUGCGUUCGUUUUCGUUCCACACAAUCUUUGGCGAUUCUGUUUCUGCUGUUGCUGUUGUCGAUGCCAUCUUUCUUCCUCUCCGAUCUCUAUUUUAUUUUUGUUUGUCUAUUAAAGACCAUUGCAC